GAUGAAGAACGCAGUGAAAUGCGAUACGUAAUGUGAAUUGCAGAAUUCAGUGAAUCAUCGAAUCUUUGAACGCAUACUGCGCUCUCUGGUAUUCCGGAGAGCAUGCUUGUUUGAGUAUCAGUAAACACCUCAACUCCCUUUUCUUUUUUGAAAUGGGAGCUGGACUUGAGUGAUCCCAACACUUUUCUCACUGGAAAGUGGCGGGUCACUUGAAAUGCAGGUGCAGCUGGACUUUUCUCUGAGCUAUAAGCAUAUCUAUUUAGUCUGCCUAAAAAACAGAUUAUUACCUUUGCUGCAGCUAACAUAAAGGAGAUGAGUUCUUGUGCUGACUGAUGCAGGAUUCACAGAGACAGCUUUGCGGCUGACUUUGUAAACUCGAUCUCAAAUCAAGUAAGACUACCCGCUGAACUUAAGCAUAUCAAUAAGCGGAGGA
rnacentral:misc_RNA from 1 species